AUGGCAGCUGCCGCGACGGCAGCGACAACAGUGGCGGGGAAGCUCCCAUUCCCACUGCUCACGAGGACGAACUACGCGGUGUGGGCGAUGAGGAUGAAGUACCUCUUGAGUGCCAACGGCGCGUGGACUGCCAUUGAUCGAGAGGACUCCUCCAAGGACAUCGACGCGGGCAAGGAGGAGAUGGCCAUGACGAUCAUCUCCCAGUCCAUCGACGACUCGAUGCUGCUGCGAGUUGCGGAGAAGGAGACCGCAGCCGAUGUGUGGGCAACGUUAUGCUCCAUGCAUAUGGGUGAUGUGGAGUCUGUGGAUGACUUCGUAGUGAGGUUCACGACGCUCGUGGGGCACAUCCGUGUGCUUGGUGAUCCGAUGGAGGAAAAGUACGUCGUGAAGAAGCUGCUGCGAGCCGUCUCCAACAAGUUCAUCCAUGUUGCUUUGUCGAUUGCAUUGUUCGGUGACACGAACAAGAUGGCCAUGGAGGAGGCCAUUGGUUCACUCAAGGCGCACGAGGAGCUCGUCAAGGGGCGGGAGACGGCACAUGAAGAAGAACAGCUCCUCAUGGCGAGAGGGCAUGACUCAUGCACGGUGAGAAGCCUAUGUGCCGCGUGA
rnacentral:rRNA from 1 species